CAACUUUCGGUUAUUGCAGUUGAUUUCCCGCCAAUGCCUUUCAAAAGGAAGCAAAUUCUCUACCUUGUCAAGCCCUAUGACCAGGCUCAGCAAGCAAUACUACAUCUUUCUUCUCAAAAAUUGCAAAUCAAUCACACAUCUCAAACAAAUUCAUGCCCAAAUCUUCCGGGUUGGCCUCCACCGAGACAUUCACGCUCUCAAUAAGCUCAUGGUCUUUUGCACCGAUCCAUCUAAUGGAAACUUGAGCUACGCUGAGACAAUCUUCAAUUGCAUACAGGACAGGUGUUUAUUCAUCUACAACCUCAUGAUCAAAGCGUUUGCAAAGAAUGGAUGUUACAGAAAAGCUCUUUUUCUCUUUGGUAAAUUGAGGGAAGAUGGCUUGUGGCCUGAUAAUUUCACUUACCCAUUUGUUUUUAAGGCAAUUGGAUUUUUAGGAGAGGUUUUUGAGGGUGAAAAGACACAUGGUUUUGUGAUAAAAACUGGUCUUGAGUUUGAUAAUUUUGUAUGUAAUUCGCUCAUCGACAUGUACGCCCAGUUCGGUUUAAUUGAUAUUAUGAAGAAGUUGUUUGAUGAAAUGCUCCAUAGAGAUGUCAUUUCCUGGAAUGUGCUCAUUUCUGGAUAUGUUAAAUGUAGAAGAUUCGAGGACGCUAUAAAUGUUUUUCAUCGCAUGCGAGAAGAGGGUGAUUUGAUGCCUGAUGAAGCUACGGUGGUAAGCACUCUUUCAGCUUGCACAGCUUUAAAAAAUUUGGAACUGGGUAAGGAAAUUCACCAUUAUGUGAGAGAGAGAAUUGAGUUCACUUCUAUUAUUGGAAAUGCAUUGAUGGACAUGUACUGUAAGUGUGGUUGUUUGAGUAUGGCCCGAUUGAUUUUUGAACAGUUGCCUUCUAAAAAUGUCAUUUGUUGGACUACCAUGGUAAGCGGUUAUGCAAAUUGUGGUGAGCUAGAAGAGGCUAGAGAGUUGUUCGAGAGGAGUCCAGUUAGGGAUGUUGUUAUGUGGACAUCUAUGAUUAAUGGGUAUGUGCAGUUUAACCGUUUUGAUGAGGCAGUGGCACUCUUUAGAGAAAUGCAAAUUAGAAGAGUUAAACCUGACAAAUUCAUAGUGGUUUCCCUACUCACAGGUUGUGCUCAAACGGGAUCUCUAGAGCAAGGGAAGUGGAUUCAUGGGUUCAUGGAUGAGAACAGAAUUCCAAUAGAUUGUGUUGUUGGCACUGCUCUAAUAGAAAUGUAUGCAAAAUGUGGGUGCGUAGAAAAAGCUUUGGAGAUUUUUUAUGGAUUAAGAGAAAAAGAUACGGCCUCGUGGACUUCAAUUAUAUGUGGGCUUGCCAUGAAUGGGAAGACCGUCACGGCACUCGAGUUGUUCUCAAAAAUGAAACAAGUUGGAGCUAAACCUGAUGAUAUUACCUUUAUUGGUGUAUUAAGUGCCUGCAGUCAUGGAGGAUUGGUUAAGGAAGGUCGUGAGUUCUUCAAUUCUAUGACAAAGAUGUAUCAUAUAAGGCCAAAAUUAGAACACUAUGGGUGUCUGAUUGACUUACUUGGUCGAGCUGGACUGCUAGAUGAAGCAGAGGAGUUAAUAAAGAAGAUACCUAAUGAAGAUAAUGCCAUCUUAGUUCCACUUUAUGGUUCUUUGCUUAGUGCUUGUAGAAUCUAUAAGAAUGUCGCGAUAGGCAAGCGGGUGGCUAAACAACUGGUGAAAAUUGGGUCAAGCGAUUCCAGUGUCCACACACUCCUUGCCAAUAUCUAUGCCUCUGCAGAAAAAUGGGAAGAUGUAACAAAGGUGAGAAGGAAAAUGAAAGAUAUUGGAGUCAAAAAGCUGCCUGGUUGUAGUUCAAUUGAGGUUGAUAGUAUCAUCCAUGAGUUUUUUGCUGGGGAUCCGUCUCAUUCAGAAAUGGGAGAAAUAUAUUCCAUGCUGGAUAGACUGGCUAAACCAUUGUUGGGUUUAGAAAAGAAUGAAAUCGAGAUAGAAGGUUAUUAGUAUGUUGUUUUUUCAAGAACUUCCUUCGGUUCAUGUAUUUUUUAAGUUAUUUACGUGUCUGUUGUACAAAACAUGCUUACAUGAGGUGUGGUGAGCUAUACCCACUCCAACCACUGUUAAC
rnacentral:misc_RNA from 1 species